CCUACGGGAGGCAGCAGUGAGGAAUAUUGGUCAAUGGACGCAGGUCUGAACCAGCCAUGCCGCGUGCCGGAAGACGGCUCUAUGAGUUGUAAACUGCUUUUGUACGAGGGUAACCGCCAAUACGCGUAUCUGUCUGCAAGUAUCUUACGAAUAAGGAUCGGCUAACUCCGUGCCAGCAGCCGCGGUAAUACGGAGGAUUCAAGCGUUAUCCGCAUUUAUUGGGGUUAAAGGGUGCGUAGGCGGUCGGAUAAGUUAGAGGUGAAAUCCCGAGGCUCAACUUCGGAAUUGCCUCUGAUACUGUUCGGCUAGAGAGUAGUUGCGGUAGGCGGAAUGUAUGGUGUAGCGGUGAAAUGCUUAGAGAUCAUACAGAACACCGAUUGCGAAGGCAGCUUACCAAGCUAUUUCUGACGUUGAGGCACGAAAGCGUGGGGAGCAAACAGGAUUAGAUACCCUGGUAGUC
rnacentral:rRNA from 1 species